rnacentral:lncRNA from 1 species
CCCUACUACAUAAAACAUGUACAUGCAACAUAUCCCCAGAUAGCUUAGAUCUGAGCGCACAUUAUUACCGAAUGGUGCUCAGAUCACAUACAUAUAGUUCAAUCGCCAUGGAGCCAAAGUCUUUUUCAUAGUCUUUCCUUACCCGAAUAGGCUCCAUGGCAUAGCUAUCUGGGGUAGCACUACUCACAUACUGAAAGUCCC